AUACGGAGGGUGCGAGCGUUAUCCGGAAUUACUGGGUUUAAAGGGUGCGUAGGCGGCCUGGUAAGUCAGGGGUGAAAGUCCAGGGCUUAACCGUGGGAUUGCCUUUGAUACUGCUGGGCUUGAAUGAGGUUGAGGUGGGCGGAAUGUGGCAUGUAACGGUGAAAUGUGUAGAUAUGCCAUAGAACACCGAUUGCGAAGGCAGCUCACUGGACCUUUUUUGACGCUGAGGCACGAAAGCGUGGGGAGCGAACAGGAUUAGAAACCCUAGUAGUCC
rnacentral:rRNA from 1 species